GAUGGUAAUAUACUCUUUAUACUCAUGCACUUAUUAAAAGGACGAUUCCGAAAUUCUGUGACAGCCCAAUUGAACAAUUAAUAUUUACAAGGACAUUUUCGAAUAAAUUAGCACAAAAAUGUAACAUUUAUCAAACAUGCACAUAAAGGGUAUUUUGGGGAGCGUAGUUGUUUAACGUGUGUUUCUUUUAAAGUGAGUAAAGCUGGUAAAAGUUGCUGGAUUUGUCUGUGAGCUGAACUCGCUGUCCAUUACAGACCCCUUUGUUUCGCCUUAACAAUUGCUCUUUAUUCCCGUGCUGUACUUGGCAUCGUUUAGCUGCCUGACUCCAAACUUAACCACCCCGGUUCUUCUACUUAAAGCACUCAAAUUGCCCUCUUCUACAAAUAUAUUGUCAAAGAGAUGGACUUCACCACAUUCUGAAACAGCAAGACCAGGGGAUUUUUUUUUUGUAGUCUGCUCAGUAUUGCACGGCAACAUCACUAGAGGAUAAAGUGCUUCAAUAAGAACUAAAGUGACGGACAAAAAAGUGUCGCACGUCUAACGCUCUGCCAAUCAGACUUUUCUUCUUUUCUGAGCAACUCAUAUUGUUUAAGGUAAAGGAAAAAGACUGUAUGCCCGACGAUUUUAAAAAAUGAGUUACAGAGUACAUUUGGCUACUUAAGAAGAACGAGGUGAUGUUUUGAAUUUUUUGGAACCUGGGCAUCCAAAGGAGGAAGUGGCAAGAUGGGGGGGAAAAAAAGAAGAUGCAACCUCCAUAAAAAUACCGUUGGAACUGAAUCUUGAUCAAAGCACUGUGAAACAACAUGUCUUCCCAUUAUACCAGUGAAAGGAAAUCUACAAAAAUAAAUUAGCAAAAGCUAAUGAUAGUUUAUAAAAAAAGAACUGAGAGCAUCAUCAUCAACAUCUAUCCAAAACUACACUCUUUGCAUCUGUUUUGUGAUACCCAUUACUGGAAUGUGUAAUACUGCUACAAAACCCAGUUAUACAACUACUGGUGAACACUCAUUUAAGCUUUUGUCUCCCUCCCUAUAAAACCCAUUUGCUUGUGUCUGUUCUAAACAUUUGAUCUUCUUUGAUAUUAACCGCGACAAAGGAC